GAUGAACGCUGACAGAAUGCUUAACACAUCAGCAAUUGAUUGGUGGCGGACGGGUGAGUAACGCGUAAAGAACUUACCUCACAGUUAGGGACAACAUUUGGAAACGAAUGCUAAUACCUAAUACUGUGAGAGAGCUUUGCGUCCCAUUAGCUAGUUGGAGAGGUAACGGCUCACCAAGGCGAGGAUGGGUAGCCGGCCUGAGAGGGUGAUCGGCCACAAGGGGAACGGGACACAGCCCUUACUCAUACGGGGGGCAGCAGGGGGGAAUAUUGGACAAAGGACCCAAGUCUGUUCCAGCAAUUCUGUGUGCACGAUGAGGUUUUCGGAAGGUAAAGUGCUUUCAGUUGGGAUGCGGUACCAACAGAAGAAGCGACGGCUAAAUACGUGCCAGCAGCCGCGGUAAUAC
rnacentral:rRNA from 1 species